rnacentral:rRNA from 1 species
GACGAACGCUGGCGGCGUGCUUAACACAUGCAAGUCGAACGGAAAGGCCCUGCUUUUGUGGGGUGCUCGAGUGGCGAACGGGUGAGUAACACGUGAGUAACCUGCCCUUGACUUUGGGAUAACUUCAGGAAACUGGGGCUAAUACCGGAUAGGAGCUCCUGCUGCAUGGUGGGGGUUGGAAAGUUUCGGCGGUUGGGGAUGGACUCGCGGCUUAUCAGCUUGUUGGUGGGGUAGUGGCUUACCAAGGCUUUGACGGGUAGCCGGCCUGAGAGGGUGACCGGCCACAUUGGGACUGAGGUACGGCCCCGACUCCUACGGGAGGCAGCAGUGGGGAAUAUUGCACAAUGGGCGGAAGCCUGAUGCAGCAACGCCGCGUGCGGGAUGACGGCCUUCGGGUUGUAAACCGCUUUCGCCUGUGACGAAGCGUGAGUGACGGUAAUGGGUAAAGAAGCACCGGCUAACUACGUG